GCUGCGUCUGGGUCUCAGUCUAGGCUCAUUUGCUCGCGAGAGUUCCUCCACCUAGCCUACUGAGAAGCUGUCGGACUUGGAGGCAGAGAAGAGUCGCGAGACUUGACUAGAUCACCCUUUCCAGACUCCGCCCCUCCAUCCCGGCACUCCUCCCGGCGCAGCUUCCUCGUUUGCACGUGUAAUUGUUGUGGUUCAGCCUCACGUGGCCGCGGAAGUGCCGGCGGCUUCCAAAAUGGCGGCGCCCAGUGUCAGGUGCCCGUGACUCGCCUCUGGUCAGCCUUGAGUUAUAACCCUGAGCAAGUCUAUGGGGCCAUGGACGAGCCUGGGUUCACAGCCUCGCUGGUGGCUGGCGGAAUAGCAGGUGUCUCUGUCGACUUGAUAUUAUUCCCUCUGGAUACCAUUAAGACCAGGCUGCAGAGUCCCCAGGGCUUUUCUAAGGCCGGCGGUUUUUGUGGAGUGUACGCCGGAGUUCCUUCUGCUGCUGUUGGAUCUUUUCCUAAUGCUGCUGCCUUUUUUGUCACCUAUGAAUAUGUGAAAUGGAUUUUGCACACUGAUUCUUCUUCACAUUUGAUGCCUGUGACACAUAUGUUGGCUGCCUCGGCUGGAGAAGUGGUUGCCUGCCUGAUUCGAGUUCCUUCUGAAGUAGUUAAGCAGAGGGCACAAGUAUCUGCUUCUUCAGGAACAUUUCACAUUUUCUCUAACAUCUUAUGUCAAGAGGGCAUCCAAGGAUUAUAUCGAGGCUACAAAAGCACAGUUUUGAGAGAGAUUCCUUUCUCAUUGGUCCAGUUUCCCUUGUGGGAGUCCUUAAAAGCCCUCUGGUCCUGGCGGCAAGAUCAUGUGGUGAAUUCUUGGCAGUCAGCAGUCUGUGGAGCUUUUGCAGGUGGCUUUGCAGCUGCAGUCACCACGCCUCUGGACGUGGCCAAAACAAGAAUCAUGUUGGCAAAGGCUGGUUCCAGCACCGCAAGUGGGAAUAUCCUCUCUGCCUUGCACGCAGUUUGGUGGACACAGGGGCUGUCGGGAUUAUUUGCAGGUGUCUUCCCUCGAAUGGCAGCCAUCAGUCUGGGGGGUUUCAUCUUUCUUGGUGCUUAUGACCAAACACGCAGCUUUCUGUCGGAACUUGGCAGAGAGAGCCCCUGAAUCAGAGACGGCCCCUGCCUUCAAGAAAGGAUCCUGCUGUGAGAAGAGUUUCCCUUCCAUUUAGCAGCUGUCCAGCCAUCUGAACGACGAGACUCCGUGCGGAAGCCCAGUCCCGCUCGGGUUACAACAUGGAGGACGCGUCUUCCGCGCUGCAGGCUGGCUGGGGUGACGUCAUCGGCUCGUUUGCCAGAGUGGAGAGAGAAAAUGAUGUCCACAGCGGUACUCUGAACAGUUUUUUUCUCAGAACCCCUCAAUAAAUAAGCAUGGUAAUGCUGAGUCCAGGCCCUUUCAGAGCCUUCAUUUGAUCUGUAUCUGAUCUUUCAUUUCCUGCCACCUGAUAGUGGAGUCAGCCAAAGGCAGGGAUGGUUACAAUUUUAAAAGAAUGGCCAGAAGGAGACUUACGGAAAAAGUUGAGGAUGUGGGUGGGUUUUUCCCCCGGGUUAAUUCCAGUUGCAUCAGCUUACAGCUUUGUGUAAAAAGAAUGAACUACAGGUGCACGGCAAGCAUCCUUGCUGGGUAAGCAAGCUGCUGGUCUUAAUGACCAUCACAUUUCACCUAUAAAAACACUUGUAUUCUUUUACAGAGAGGUGUCCAGCUGCUCAUGUGGUGUUUUGUGAGAGAGAACCCAGUCUCGGCUCAGUGACUAGCUGGGCCGUCACCGACCUCUCCCCCUAUUUCAGACUCAGAGCAAGGGCCAGGGCUGGCUUUGCAAACACAGUGGUUUCAUCCUUCGGUUCACCGUUAGGAAUUUUAAGCUCAGCACUGGAAAUCGAAGAGAUGAAGUGAGAAGGUCACCAUUCUAGAGCUUGACUAAUAAGUUCCAGGUGUUAGAAAAAUUCAGAGAGAAAUCUUAGGAAUCCAGUGCUGUCAUGUCUUCCCUGGAGCAACAGUAUAUAGUUCUGCUUUGACUAAUUUUUUUUUCCUUUUCAAAAAGUAAAAGGGUAAUUAGGGCAGGAUGACUCCCUUACAAAGGCAGUCUCUGGAAUUAAACAGGAUGAAGCACGGCUGGUUAAUGUAGGUAUAAAAACAACCCGCCACACACGUAACAUGUUAUAAAUGAACCUUUAUUAAAGACACUUCAAUGCCAUUUGUUAGACACUUCAAUAUUUUACAUGUUUUUCAAUGUACAUUGUACCAAAAUUUCUAUAAAUAAAUAACUUUGUACAUAAAAGUAAUACUUCCUCUUUCACAUUGCCUCUCAGAAGCAGCAAAUUCACAUAUUUUGUGGAAGUAACAAUCAGUUAACUGUUGAGAACAGAAUUCUAGAUGUGCUUACCUUUUGGGACAGUGGUGACAGCUGACAGUGAUUAACAUAGAAGGAAGAAAGGCAUCCUAAUUGUUGGAACCGAUUGCUUGUGAUGGAUUAAUAUUCCACCUGUUAGAGAAAGAACUUAAACCUACAAGAACGCCUUCACCAUGAAGGAAUGUAACGUCUGCCCCUCCGGGCUCUACAGGGAGGUCCCCGCAACGCUGUCCACACAAGCAACCGUCACAGGAAGUUGCUUCCACUGCAGACACAGCCUCUGGUGGUAAAGCAUCCCAGGGAUGCCAGAGCGCCUCCUUUCCAUCCACCUACCAAACCCUCCUGUGAACAAAUGUGGUUUGUAGCUUCAAGGAACUCCAUCCAUGCAUUAAGGCACCAGAACUAUCCCCCCCCUCCAAAAUUAAACAGCAACCAGGUAUGAAAAAUAAUAAUGUCAACGUUGUAGGAUUUUUGUUUCUGUUAACCAUGCACUAAAGAUUAAAAUAGCCUCUGUAAAAGAUAUAUAUAAUAUA